AUUUUCUAAAAAUAGAAGGGAAAAAGCUGCAGCACUGAACCAGAGAUACUCUUCCAUCUUUGCCACUGCCUUUAGCGUUUCCUCUGCAUCAUCGUUCUGUUUGUUCAGUAGCACGAACACAUAAACAAAUCGCCCUUCGUUUCGAUUCUUUUCCAUUUCUCCGUUUCACUUGUAAGUUAUAAUUCUGUCACUGAUUGCUGCUUUGGAUCUCGAAAGAUAUAUAUAUUCAUAAACUAAAACAAAGCUCACCCCAAUGGGGUUCGAUGACUUCGAACCCAUAUUUGGCCAGGCCAAAGCAGAAUGGUCGACUCCAAAUUCGCCCCCUUUGCGGCCAUUUUUGUUUAACGUGCAUGUUUCCGGCUCUUCUUGCCUUAAAGUUCAUGUUUCUGAUUUCUAUUCCAAUACUUUUGAGGCCGUUCGGUCAAUCGAACAGCUCGAGGACUUGAGGGAUAUGAUUGGAAUCGGGGGUUCAUGGUGCGAGUUUAUGGAUUAUCUUGUUGCUUCCAUAAAAUCUGAUGAUGUAAAACUUAUUCUGGAUGGCCAGCCGAGAGCAGAUGGUGCUGCAUAUGCAAAAUUAGUUGCUCAGAAAUCAAAAGGAAUGCCACUAAUCUCUAUUUCCCUUGCUAAACUGGUGGAUGCUGCUGCGAGUGAGGUUAUGGCGAAUCUUUCACUAGAGGUUUAUAAAGCAUUUAAAAGCAUGCAAAAUCUUCUUGUAAAAGAGCAAGAUCGAUGUUGUCUGUUGACGAAAGUAAUAUCAGCCGAACAGGAAAAGACUGGAACUAUCCAAAAGCAGCUCGAUACAUUUCUGUAUUCAAAGAGGCAGAAGUCACUGAAGAUGAAUGACAAAUCAAACACAGAUGCUUUGUCAGCUACUGGCUUGCAAGAUUCUCCAGACAAGCUGGCUGCUCAAAAUCCUGGCUCAACUAAAGUUGCCAAGCGCGUUGUACCAGCAUACCGCAGGUCAAAAGUGAGAGGAGUUCUUUUGCAGGAUACUACUGAGGAUGGAGAUAAUUAAAAGUAUUUGACACCUUCACUCACUAUGUUCAGUGAAAGACGCUUUUAAUGACUACAACUUUGAUUUUUAUUUGUCAUACAAUUGGAAAGAUAUAGAAUGAAAAGGAUAGAAAAAGGGCUCUAGUAAGAAGUGGGUUUGUAACUCAAUACUUCAUAAAUUGCUAGCACUGGUAAUUGAGGGCAUAUAAAAUAUGUAUAUCUGGCUUUGUUCCUAUUAAAAGAAAAAUGUAUGCUGGUAUAUAUAUAGUGAUGCAUUUUCCGGCAAAUUGUUGUUUGCUUGUAUGAAGUUUCUCUUGAUAUUGGUAGUUGCCAAAUCCACUUAUUGAUAUUGACCGUUUGUGGUUUUUAAUAUAAUCUCUUCUUGAUAUUGGCUAUUUGUGGUUGUUAAUAUAAUCUCUACGCCUUUAUUGAUUUGUAUGUAUUUGUUUGCAUUUGAGGGAAGGGGGUUGGCGGCUUUCAACCUCUUUUGGGUCAUAUCACCUCCACUUUUUUAUACAUUUUUUUCAAAAAAAUCAAAAGGCUAACUUGUAACCUACUUUCCAAAACAACUGUAUACCUCAUUUACAGAAUUUCUGGAUUGUCAUCCCAAUAUAAUAAAAAAAUAUCACAGUUUUAUUGACCAAGAAAUACAUUAGAUCUCCAUCAUCUUCCCUGCCACAAUCAAAUUUACUAGGGUUUCUGGUCAUUCCAUGUUGUAUCAGCCGUGAGAUAUGCCAUAAUAUUCUGCUACUUUCUCUAAUCAUUUUGUGUGCUUAUAUGGUGUCUGAGAGCUCAUUCAGGGAGGCACUCUCUCUGUCUGGUGGAUCUGUAUUUCAUGUGAAAGGGCCAGCAACCAGGUAUGAAGUUGAUAUCAUCAUCUCUGCACGACAUACGAACAAUUGCUUGAAAUUUGGAUUCUUCUCAUCAUCAAUUACAAUAAUGUCCUUCUGGUCUGCCUGCAAGUCAUGCUGUUCAUCGACAAUAUCUUUCAGAGAGAGUUCAUACCAAGACUCUGGCAUGUCUUGGAUCUUUUCUGUUAGUUUCCUUCUACCAUCAAUGAUCGCUUGCAAUCGUGACGGCGAUGACGACGACGAUGACAACGACAACUUGGGGGAUGUCAGAUAACUGUACUGGUGAUUUCUAGGCAAUAACGGAGUUUUACUUGUCCAAAACGCCUGCGGUGAGCAGGCUCCGUCAUUGCCAUUGUACUGUGUCUGAGCUUGAAAAUCUACUUCAUCAUCACCAUAACUGUUGUAAUAAUCUGUUCUUUGUUCACCCCAGAACUGGAAACCUGUUUCUUUUUCAUGUCCUAAAACAAGUGCCAUUUGAUCGAUUGAUCGAUCAGGCUGACAUAAGAAAUUAAAGUGGUUUAUAGUAAGGCCUUGCUGGAGAUCAAGCAUGGUAGUAAGAGAGAAGAAGAAGAAGAAGAAGAAGAAGAAAAGGAAAGUGAAAAUAGAGUGAUUGUUGUGUGUGUGGUUAGAGAAGUGUGUGAUGUGUUUGGUAGCUAGCUAUACAUAGCAUAUAUAAUACUGAAAUGAAGGGAAGAAUAAGUCAUAUGCUAAUACAGAAAUUUUCGAAAGGGACCCCAAUUUGAAGUCAUUGCCGUCUCCUGUGGGAGGGGAGGGAUGACCGGGAAAUGGGCCCACAAGCGGCCUCAAUUUCCUUACAUUUGUCUCUCUCAAAGUCUAUGUUGAGAACAUGGGAGCCCAAGUAUGGCCAAUUUUGUC